ensembl:lncRNA
GGUAGAGGAAGGACAUCAGAAAUAGAUGAGAGAGGUUGAGGGUAGAGGAAGGACAUCAGUAAUAGAUGAGAGAGGUUGAGGGUAGAGGAAGGACAUCAGUAAUAGAUGAGAGAGGUUGAGGGUAGAGGAAGGACAUCAGUAAUAGAUGGUUGAGGGUAGAGGAAGGACAUCAGUAAUAGAUGGUUGAGGGUAGAGGAAGGACAUCAGUAAUAGAUGGUUGAGGGUAGAGGAAGGACAUCAGUAAUAUAUGGUUGAGGGUAGAGGAAGGACAUCAGAAAUAGAUGGGAGAGGUUGAGGGUAGAGGAAGGACAUCAGAAAUAGAUGAGAGAGGUUGAGGGUAGAGGAAGGACAUCAGUAAUAGAUGAGAGAGGUUGAGGGUAGAGGAAGGACAUCAGAAAUAGAUGAGAGAGGUUGAGGGUAGAUGAAGGACAUCAGUAAUAGAUGAGAGAGGUUGAGGUUAGAGGAAGGACAUCAGUAAUAGAUGAGAGAGGUUGAGGGUAGAGGAAGGACAUCAGUAAUAGAUGAGAGAGGUUGAGGGGAGAGGAAGGACAUCAGUAAUAGAUGGUUGAGGGUAGAGGAAGGACAUCAGUAAUAGAUGGUUGAGGGUAGAGGAAGGACAUCAGUAAUAGAUGGGAGAGGUUGAGGGUAGAGGAAGGACAUCAGUAAUAGAUGGGAGAGGUUGAGGGUAGAGGAAGGACAUCAGUAAUAGAUGG